AUGACGAAUCCCAAAAGAGCGGGGGGCACUGGAUUUCGUGAUAUGCACCUUUUUAAUCAGGCUCUUCUUGCCAGACAGGGUUGGAGAUUGAUUCAGAAUCCAGAUAGCCUGUGUGCGAGGGUACUCAAGUCAAAAUAUUACCCGAACGGAAACCUGCUUGAUACAUUCUUCUCUUCGGAUGCAUCUCCGGUCUGGAGGGGCAUAGAGUUUGGGCUGGAACUUCUUAAAAAAGGCCUCAUCUGGCGUAUUGGAGAUGGCAAAAAUAUACAAAUCACAAGGGACCAAUGGAUCCAUAGGAAGGAAGGACUGAGAGCAGCCUCUUUUGUGAGAAGAUCGAGGCUCAGAUGGGUUAAUAAGCUAAUAGAUGAUGAAACUAAGGAAUGGAAAGUUGAACUAGUGAAACAAAUUUUCCAUAACUAUGACGCUGAGGAUAUCUGCAAGAUGAGAAUACCGAAGGGAGAGGUUGAUGCGUGGCAUGGAACUAUGAGAAAUCAGGGAUAUUUACAGUCAGGACACUACUAG
rnacentral:rRNA from 1 species